rfam:Nomascus leucogenys chromosome 9, whole genome shotgun sequence.
AUCCUUUUGUAGCUCAUGAGCAUGACCAUCAGGUGUUUACACGCAUGUGUGAGAUAUGCCACCUUCUGAACCUUGUUAACGACGCUGGCAUGUUACUCGUGUAACC